rnacentral:rRNA from 1 species
AUACGGAGGAUGCAAGCGUUAUCCGGAUUUAUUGGGUUUAAAGGGUGCGUAGGCGGAUGAUUAAGCGUGAGGUGAAGUGCCACUGCUCAACAGUGGAACUGCCUCGCGAACUGGUUGUCUUGAAUGCUCCUGCCGUGGGAGGAAUGUGUGGUGUAGCGGUGAAAUGCAUAGAGAUCACACAGAACACCGAUUGCGAAGGCAUCUCACGAAGGGGUGAUUGACGCUGAGGCACGAAAGCGUGGGGAUCAAACAGGAUUAGAUACCCUGGUAGUCCACGCAGUAAACGAUGAUAACUAACCGCUGGGUCGUAGUGAUUCAGUGGCCAAGCGAAAGCGAUAAGUUAUCCACCUGGGGAGUACGACCGCAAGGUUGAAACUCAAAGGAAUUGACGGGG